AAGCCAUGAUGUGGACAUUGUCUUUGAAGAUCCUUAAACCUCUCCCUAGCUUCAUAUAAUGUCUCAUCUUUCUUCUAAGUAAAGAUGGUAAUAUCAUUCCUUAGUUU